AGCGAACGUUUGCGGCGGGCUUAACACAUGCAGGUCGAACGGGCUGUUCCUUCGGGGGCAGUCAGUGGCGCACGGGUGCGUAACACGUAGGUAAUCAACCCUCUGGUUGGGGAUAACACUUCGAAAGGAGUGCUAAUACCCGGUAUGGCGCAGCGGUCUUCGGAUCGCGGCGAGAAAGACCCGCAAGGGUUGCCAGAGGACGAGCCUGCGGCCCAUCAGCUAGUUGGCGAGGUAACGGCUCACCAAGGCGAAGACGGGUAGCUGGUCUGAGAGGAUGAUCAGCCACACUGGAACUGAGACACGGUCCAGACUCCUACGGGAGGCAGCAGUGGGGAAUAUUGCGCAAUGGGCGAAAGCCUGACGCAGCCGCGCCGCGUGAGCGAUGAAGGCCU
rnacentral:rRNA from 1 species